rnacentral:rRNA from 1 species
AACGAACGCUGGCGGCAUGCCUAACACAUGCAAGUCGAACGAGACCUUCGGGUCUAGUGGCGCACGGGUGCGUAACGCGUGGGAACCUGCCCUUAGGUUCGGAAUAACUCCCCGAAAGGGGUGCUAAUACCGGAUAAUGUCUUCGGACCAAAGAUUUAUCGCCUUUGGAUGGGCCCGCGUUGGAUUAGCUAGUUGGUAGGGUAAAAGCCUACCAAGGCGACGAUCCAUAGCUGGUCUGAGAGGAUGAUCAGCCACACUGGGACUGAGACACGGCCCAGACUCCUACGGGAGGCAGCAGUGGGGAAUAUUAGACAAUGGGCGAAAGACUGACACAGCAAUGCCGCGUGAGUGAUGAAGGCCUUAGGGUUGUAAAGCUCUUUUACCCGGGAUGAUAAUGACAGUACCGGGAGAAUAAGCACCGGCUAACUCCGUG